AUUGAACGCUGGCGGCAGGCCUAACACAUGCAAGUCGAACGGUAACAGGAAGAAGCUUGCUUCUUUGCUGACGAGUGGCGGACGGGUGAGUAAUGUCUGGGAAACUGCCUGAUGGAGGGGGAUAACUACUGGAAACGGUAGCUAAUACCGCAUAACGUCGCAAGACCAAAAAGGGGGACCUUCGGGCCUCUUGCCAUCGGAUGUGCCCAGAUGGGAUUAGCUAGUAGGUGGGGUAACGGCUCACCUAGGCGACGAUCCCUAGCUGGUCUGAGAGGAUGACCAGCCACACUGGAACUGAGACACGGUCCAGACUCCUACGGUAGGCAGCAGUGGGGAAUGUUGCACAAUGGGCGCAAGCCUGAUGCAGCCAUGCCGCGUGUAUGAAGAAGGCCUUCGGGUUGUAAAGUACUUUCAGCGGGGAGGAAGGGAGUAAAGUUAAUACCUUUGCUCAUUGACGUUACCCGCAGAAGAAGCACCGGCUAACUCCGUG
rnacentral:rRNA from 1 species